rnacentral:sRNA from 1 species
UAAUCCUUCUGAAUCCCCUUCAAGAACCUAGCGUAUUAUUCAAAUUGCUCAAUAUAAUCUUCCACUAAACCUGUUUGUCUCAAGCCAAUCAGAAUUUCAAAGGGGUUUUGAAGCAUCAUUGGUUGAAACUUGGGGACAACAGCCACCUCGAAUGCCUCCCACGUAGGAUUUGGAUUGCAGGUUUCCCACCACUAAACCAAUUCAAGGCUUUCCCUUCUAAAGCAACUAUGACAGGAUGCAUUCUUUCCUCCUCACUCACUGUUUUGAAUCGAAAAUAUCUUUUAGUCUGUUAAUCCAACCAUAGGCCUCCUCUCCUGCAAAAACCGGGAUGUCCAAUUUUCUCCAUUUUGAGGAAGAUAGUGUCGUACUUUUCUCUUCCUCCCAAGGUGACCCAUUGCCUGUAUUCAUCACUGAAACAGUUUCACCCUUGUUAGCACUGCAAGACAUCGUUUCUACCACCACGAUCGGAGACUGUAUGUUUUCUUCAAGUGGUGAACUUAUCAAAAUCAAUUGAUCAGUUUCUUCAAUAGGGGACAACUUGAGCUACUUGUGCGUUUAAAAGUGCUUUAGGGGUCUUUGAGCUAUUUGGUCAUCUUUCAGAUGGUGAGUUAGGUGAUUAUAUGCCUUUAGUGAAUGGCGAUGAUGCAAUAGACUAAUUGUUUAGUUUUAGCUACCUAGUUAUAUAGAAGUUUCUUUUCGUUUGGAAAAACUUAUGUAGCUUUUCAGCGUUUGUACUUAU